GGACUAUUUUGCAACCAGCUAUUUCAUGCGAACAAGCCGUUUCGCAUUGUUAGCUGUUCCAUUUGACGACGCGGACGUAAGCCAUUUGAAAAUUCAUUGAACUGCGACACAAUUCAAUUUAUUUCAAUUUAUUAUAAGAUACCAAUUUUGCAGUUAAGAACUGAAUUACACUGGUUUACAUGCAUACGAGUAAAAUGUCUACAAACACUCCUUAUUUACAAGUUGUUAAUUGUAAUAGUUCUAGGUAAGAAUAUAGCUAAAAAAUUAUUAUUUAAAACUGGAGUUGUAGGCCUUACUACCGGCCAUAAUAAAACUGUUAGCAAACCUACUUGUCCUAUGCUUUGGUAUUGAAAGACAAUUAUCAUUACGUAGAGAAUAUCCUGUUUUAUGUCUUGGGGGAACGAGAGAAUGGAGUUUAUGGGAUGAUUCAUCACACAUUUGAGCAAAAAGUUUCUCGCAAAUGGUCUUUCUCCGCAGGAACAGUAACACCACCCCAGCACGUACCAACGCAUCUUCAUAUUUGAGAUCAGGAAAGAUUAUACGAAGGGCUCUCCGUUGAAUACUCUCGAUCUCGUCGCUCAAAUAUUGCGCCAAGCUAUAGUGCCAU